AUCUAGUAUUGUCGUUACUAAAAGACAAUAUUAUUCAUUAAAGUGCUAUAGUAAAGCAGGGCCUUUCGCUAACACCGUUUUUAUUAUAUUGAAUGAACGGCGUUUGAUAGUAGGGCUCACGACAAUU